AAAUAAUUUCCUAACGCGUUAAUAUUAUUUCAUUUUUAACGGGGAAAUUGUGAAUUUUUACCACCCAAGGCGGAGAGGACCUCGUUUAUUGAUUAUUUUAUGUGGCGGACAGCUGGCCUAACUGCUACACCGGCGCCCUCGUCGAUAGAGGGUUUGUCCUGGAGGGUUUGUCCAGAUUUGUCAUUCCUGUCAGUUGUCAGUCAUGGUGCCAGAGGAAUCGAAUCGUGGGAUAUGGAAUUAUUGAGAAAACAGCUUGGACGUUAGAUGGCGCUGUAGACAACAUUUUUUUUUGGUAACGUGGCAAGUGUAAUAUACAAGAUGUAGCAUAAUACCGACACUACAGGGUGUUAAAAUUUUAAUUAAAAGAAAUGUUUUAAGUU